rnacentral:rRNA from 1 species
AGAGUUUGAUCCUGGCUCAGGACGAACGCUGGCGGCGCGCCUAACACAUGCAAGUCGAACGAGCGAGAGAGAGCUUGCUUUCUCAAGCGAGUGGCGAACGGGUGAGUAACGCGUGAGGAACCUGCCUCAAAGAGGGGGACAACAGUUGGAAACGACUGCUAAUACCGCAUAAGCCCACGGGUCGGCAUCGACCAGAGGGAAAAGGAGCAAUCCGCUUUGAGAUGGCCUCGCGUCCGAUUAGCUAGUUGGUGAGGUAAUGGCCCACCAAGGCGACGAUCGGUAGCCGGACUGAGAGGUUGAACGGCCACAUUGGGACUGAGACACGGCCCAGACUCCUACGGGAGGCAGCAGUGGGGAAUAUUGCACAAUGGGGGAAACCCUGAUGCAGCGACGCCGCGUGGAGGAAGAAGGUCUUCGGAUUGUAAACUCCUGUUGUUGAGGACGAUAAUGACGGUACUCAACAAGGAAGUGACGGCUUACUACGUGCCAGCAGCCGCGGUAAAACGUAGGUCACAAGCGUUGUCCGGAAUUACUGGGUGUAAAGGGAGCGCAGGCGGGAAGACAAGUUGGAAGUGAAAUCUAUGGGCUCAACCCAUAAACUGCUUUCAAAACUGUUUUUCUUGAGUAGUGCAGAGGUAGGCGGAAUUCCCGGUGUAGCGGUGGAAUGCGUAGAUAUCGGGAGGAACACCAGUGGCGAAGGCGGCCUACUGGGCACCAACUGACGCUGAGGCUCGAAAGUGUGGGUAGCAAACAGGAUUAGAUACCCUGAUAGUCCACACCGUAAACG